AGGAAUAUUUAAGCAGCUUAAAAAGCUGUAUUUGUUUAAAUAGCAGUGUUAUCUAAAUUAGCUAGCAGAUAGGCAAGCACAGUAUAGUGCUUAAAUUAGUCUGUAUUGUUAAGCUUUUUUAGUUUGUUUAUUGGUUUAAAUUCUAUAAAAUGUGAGCACUAGCUUUAAGCCAAACCUAUAUUAAUGAGAAUAGAUUUGAUUAUAGUUUCACUUGCCAGUUCUUUUUAACACAGUGAUAGAAGCAUGGCCUAUUUUUUUCUAAUUAGGUAGUUAGAAUUUCCUGUGUUGUUCCUGUUUUAGGUGAUAAAACCCUUAAGUCCUUAUGUCUGUCUUCUUUAUAUUUUAAGAUUGAAGAUGCUGUAAUAUAGUGUUAUUAAUUCUCUAAAUUUCAUUCUUAGAGUCAUGCUUACAAUUAAUCUCAAAGUUCAAAGGAGAAAGCUCUUUAUUCCCAUAAAGGUUUAUUGAGUAGUUUUCUAGUAUAAUAUUCCUUAUAAAUAUACUAAGUGUGUAGCAUCAUGGAGAAACUUGUUAGCUUCCUGACAUUUGCAUAAAUGUUUUUCAGAAAAAAAAAACAACCUCAUAUUGAUCAGAUUCUGACCUCCAAUUUGAAGCUGCUUUCGUAUCAGUGCAAUGCCACCAAUGGAAUCAGCUGAAUAGAAAUCUUCUUUUGUUGGAGGCCUGGAAAAGGCUCUUGGAACUAUUUAAAAGUGGCAUUCUCUGGAUUAAAGUUUUUUCAGUUGGGAUGGAGAUACAUGUCCUAUUACUUCCACUUUGUCCCCUGUCACAUAGUUAGAAGCAUUUUAAAUGUAGAUGUACAGCAGAUUGAAUUUGCCAUAGACCUUGAUGCUAAUCCAGUGACUUAUUGAGAAAGGCAUGAGGCUUAUUUUGAUUGUGCAGAAACUAUUCCAGGAAGUUUGGUGUUUAACAUGUGAAUAUAGUGUCAAUAAAUGAAAUAUUUUGGAUAUAAUUUUUCAGACAGUUUUUGGUACUGAUGAAUUAGCAACUGCAUUAGGGGUUGGGGGGGUGGUUCAGGUUAGAACAGCAGUGUAUGUUUUGUUGAGACUAGGCUGAAAUGAUUUUGUAUUUACUUAUUAUUGUAUUACAGCAUUUCUCUGUGUUUUUGAAGUGUUCUUUUCCUGUUCCCUUAGUUCCUGAACAAAUGAGCAAUAUGAGUAUUUCUGCUUUCUGUUGCCCUUUGAGUUAAGAAGUGCUGUAUACUGCAGGCAUUACUUUUUGCCAUGUUUUUAUCUGUCUGGUUUUUCCUUUUUUUUUUAAUGUGUGUAUGAACUUUUUGCCUCACAUGUGCAUAUAUAUGCAAUUUGUGUAAAGAAUGUCAAAACCCAACAGAAAUAAGCCAAAAUAUAAUUGCUAGAAUUCCAGUAUGCACACUUGGUGUAAAGAAUAGUGGCAGGGUACAGGCUAUGCUAGUGUCACAUAAACAUCCAGCCCCAAUUCAGUUAUUAGAGAUUUCUGUCCUCUCUCUCCAAAAUACUUUGAUUCAUAAUGGUAUCUAAUGUAAAAAAGUAAAUAAUUGUACUAAUUAUUAGCAAGACCUUUCGGUUAUGUUUUUCAUUCAUUGCUGCACUUAUCAAGCUUUUGGAAUUUUUAUUUUAUUAUGGAGGAAAAAUACCAAAAUAUUUACUAUUUUGUUUGAGCAUGUAGAAAUACAGUUAAUGAUGAUAUACAAAGUACAUAAUAGUUUUGAGGCUUUUAUUAUUUAUUUGCUUAAGAAAGAUACAUGGAUUUGGGGUCAACAUUAGGGAAAACUUUAGAGCAUUCUGCACGAGGUGUAAGCUUGGGAACACUUGGGUAAUGUUAAGACAAAACUUUCAUUUGCAAGAUCUACAGAUGCAACCUUUGUUUUCUCUCUUUCCUUCCUUCCUCACCCGUCAGAGUGGAAUUUACUAUGAUCAAAGAAAUUAUAGCAGCCUUGGAUAUAGUAAACCAGUUCCUUCCUACCGUGUUUGGGUCUGUCUCUUUCUAUAUUAAUUUAAUUAUUUAUAUAAAAUAUGUAUAUGUGGUUUUGCUUACUUAUUCCAUAUGACACUAAUUUAUCUCUCUGACACUUGCAAUUAUUACAGUUAAAAGUGGUAACAGUUGUAAUUUUUGCUUGUAAAGGUUGUGUUUUAUAAAAUUAAUGUGUAACAUGCAGAUUACUCUGUUAUGCAUGUGAGGUUUUAAAUUUAAAAUAACUUCUGUUUCAUGAUUCUGUAUGGUAUACAGAAAGCAAGUGGCAGCUGUAAUAGUUGCUGUUUCAAAUUCUUGUCUUUUAAAAUAACAAAAAAAAAAUCUUAGAUGUUUAGCAUCAUUGCAGUGCUUUUUUUCCAUCUCAAUAUAAAUUAUAAAAUGCUGAUAUAUUAUGAGAUUAGUAAUAUCUUCCAGUACCUGCAGCUGUGCUCAUGGCCAGGUUUAAAUAACUAGCUGGAGAAAACUGACAUGUUAUUUGAGAGCUACUUAAUUUCUUCACUCUCUUCCAUGAAUCUACUUGAAAAAAUACUGGAUUGGUUUAAUAAUGUUUAAAUUGAUUUCAAAGAUAACAAGUUUUUCUGGAGGUGCCCUUCCUGAAAGUUUCUGUCUACUAUAGAUAGAUUAAAAUUUAGUAUUUAAAUCUUUAGGACUUCUGUGGAAUAUAGAACAUAAAUUUAAAAAUUUAUGUAUACAGAAAAAGUAUUUCUGACUUGUUCUGUUCUUCACAUUAUAGUCAUCUUCUCUAUACAGUGAUCCAGUGGCACCAGCUAGGAGUUACAGGGUGUCUCCUUUAAACACUGAUUUGAUGAGAAAUACCAGUUUAUUUUACAAAAAUGUAUGAAAGUUGUGAAAGUGUCCUUCAUAACUUUUCUUUAGCCAUCUGAAUACAGUUAUUCUUCAAGAGCAAGCUCAGUCCGAAGUAGUCCUGUGUCCUCUGAUUUUUCU